GUGAUGGUGGUGGUGGCGAUGGCUACUUUCCUCUGCUCAGAGAGAACCCCUGCAUGUCCUUCGUCGUGAUGCAAAAGAGCAGUGGAUGCAGAAAAUGUCUCUACCUGCCAGGAUGGUAUAAGAGCAUGAACUGAAUCACCUGUUGGUGCAGAAGGCUUGGAGGACUGCUUUUGAAACAGUUGUUCAAAUUUCCUGCACCUCUUCGUAGCCGUUGUCUGAUUGCUGCAUUCUGGGGAGACUGAAGUUAAGAAGCCCUCACCGACACCAACACUACGUUGCUGUGUUGUUUUCUUCCAAGGUCGGGCACAGUAAAGGAGACGACUCUGUAUCAAGGCACUACCCAGAGGGAGGAUGUUGGCCUUCUCCUGAUGGGAAAAUGUCUUCUUUCUCAUGGCGUGGCCAGGACUGCACUGACCCUACCAUCCACUCUACCUCUCCGGAAAGGGACUUGACAACCAGUCAAGAUGGAAGUGCAGAGAUAUA